GGGUGGCCCCGCGCUGCCGUGCCGCCCGGCCCGCGGCCGCCCCGCGCCGCGCCUCCGGUUUGUCAGCACCUGCUCGGUGAUGAACAGCGGGACGUUAAACACCAGCGGCUUCUACCGUAAAUUGCGCAAACUUUCCAAAAAAUCAGCGAUACCGUUCGGGGACGUGGAAUAAAUUGGAGGAAGCUUUCCGUUAACAUCCAGGGAAGCGGGUCCUUCGUCCAGGUUUAUCUACCACAAAACCUCGGCAGUGACAAGGUGGCUUCGCUCAGCGCCCGCGGCACGGACACGGACGCGGACGCGGACGCGGACACGGACACGGACGCGGACGCGGACACGGACGCGGACACGGCUGCGCCGCCCGCCCGCCGCCAGGGGGCAGCGCCGCCGCGGCGCGGGCCCACCGGCGCGCGCGCGGAGCCCGGUCUGCGUCAGCGCGCGCGGCCCGGGGCGGAGCGUCGCCUGACGGCGGCCCGGGGGCGGAGCCAGCCGGGUCCCGGGAGUGGAGGCGGGGGGUGUGGUGCCGGCCGCGGUCCCGGCCCAGGGGCCCUCAGAACCGGGCGAAGCGGCCUCUGGGCGGGGGUCUGGCCGCUGGGCCGGGAGCUACGCCGCGACCCGGCCGGCGGCGCGCGCUGUCCCCGCGCGCCCUCUGUGACGCCGCCACCCGCCGUAACGUAAAUAUUUGUCUGGUGAGGCGGGAGGGGCCCGGGUGUGCCCGUUCCCGGGUGGCACCCGCGGCACGGACAGCAGGUGAGCGUGGCGAAGCCGAGAUGGACGCAGCCUUCCCCCGCCCGGCCCGUGAGCGCGGCUCGGCCCCGCUGCCGCUGCCGGGGCUGCCGCAGCCAGCGGGAGGAGAGCGGCACCGGCUGUCUGCUCAUUGCCGUUUAACGGAGCCUGCAUGCUUCACAAAUCGACGUCGUUCGCCCUAUAAGUAGCACUCCACACGGUGUAAUUUGUGCCUUUUUUUUUUUUCCCUUCCCUCCUUUCACUGCUCCAUUGCUGUUUUCUGGACUAUAAAGAGCAGCAAAGAAUGAAUGGAGUUGGGGUCCACGAGAGAUCAAAUCAGUUCAAAAGUGAGGAGGGAGAGAGUAAAAAAGUAACUUCUCAUCGCUCUUCCCAAUGUUUUGUGUGAAGAGGCCGAUUGCUGUAGGAUACGCAAGGCUCUGGCCUGCCUGUGUCACCAGCACAGGAGGUGGCCGGGUUCAGGACUAGAGGAGUCACUGCUUGGUUCCAGCAAGGCAAGUUCUGUGUUCCUUUGAUUAGAAGAUUGGAUACAAAGGGCCAACCAGCCAGCCAGGUUUUCUGAAAAAAAAAAAUACAGAAACAAAAAGAAAUUGAAGGAAUCCCUUCCUUUUGAAAAUAAAGGUGAGGUGGCAUGAAUGUCAUCUAAAUUGCUGUGCAUCUCUGUAUUUCUUGCACUACAUUCACAGGCCAAAUACAGUGUGAAGGCAAUGUGAAAAUCUGUCAAGGCAUCCAGGCUGUGUCAGAAAGAUGCUUUUCUCUGUGUUCUUGGAGCUAAAAGAAAAUUCAGUAAGUUGCUGAGCUGAAUGCUUCGUCCUCCUCCCUCACAAGCUUCUGGAGGUGACAGAUGUUUCCUCAGGGCCUGUUAUUUCAGACACCUCCAUGAUUUAUAUAUCUCUGCAAGCCUGGUGGGUGGAAUUGGAUGUCGCAGACGAGCUGAAAAUAACUCCUGUACUCAGACUCUGAUACCUACUGGCCCAUGUAGAAAAAUGAGAUCAAAUUGAAUCACAUUAUAUGUGCCUGGCACAUUCUUUGAGAUGUACAGAUGGAACAGUGGUGGGUUAAAGUGAAGUUGAAACGCUCUUGUGGAGAGCGCUGGCAAGGACUCUGCAAUAACAUUGUGCACAGCAGAACCACCCUGGCUUAACUCGCAUGAUUAUUUUGCUAAGAUCUGCAGUAGCUUACAGAGGAAAACUUCAUAUUUAGAACAAUAUGUAAUUCCCUGUGUGACUGUGAUGUAGAAUUGGACAGAAUGCCUUUGGCACCCACAGUGAGAGGUUCAGGAAGACAACUGGAUGGAUGGCCUUGCAGAACUGUGCUUGAGCAUGCCUGAAGUGACGCCAAGGGGCUUCAGACCUGUUCCCAUGGUCCUCACUGGAAGCAAUACUUGGUGGGAAAAAACUGCUGUGGGACCUUGGGGUUUCAAGCUGUUAACGCCUUGUCAGGUGUUUUGGGAUAGUCUGAUGGAAGAGGAAGACAAAUAAAUAUGCUACAUCCACAGGUGCCCAGCACUCCAAAAAUAUAAUCAGGGGACACUAUGGCCCAUAGGCAGGUACUGGUCUGGAGGCACAGUGUGAGGGCUAAGAUGUAAGGGAAUGUUCUCAGGUUAACUUCUCAAAAGCCGAGUUAUCUACUUCUCUCCAUAUGCAGAGCUCGGGUAGUUUCACCCAGCCAUUCAUUAAGGAUCCCGGGUUUCCCCGAGUGUGGCCUGGCCUCCAUUGGGUACAGCUCAGAACCAGCCUCCAGGAGAUUAUAAUAUUUUCCAAGGCUGGGCCUUUGGUCCAUGGCAGCCUCCGGGGGACAUGGAGCAGCGGAGCAGAGAGGGCCUGGGCACGCUCCGCCCCACCCUGCAGCCAGCGGUCAGACAUGCAGAGCCUGCCAAGAUAUCUUGGUCCAGAGAUAUCCCAUGUUGCAUCCUGGUCCAAGACUCACAGCCCCACUCUUGCAGGAGGAAAAUGCUGCAUCUCUGGAAAACACGUGAAUACCUUUGACUGAUGUCUUGCUGACGGAUACCAGUGAAACAAACACUACUCAGCAAAUAUUGGCAGGUGGAUUUGGCUUUUUAAAUCCAAAUGAGAAGUGGUGAGUCCUCUCAUGCCUGCUUAUCAUCAUCAUGCCCCUGGACACCAUUAUGGGUAUCACUUCACUGGAGCUCUGACCUUACUUUCUGCCCCAGCCUGGGCUGUGCUAACCAGCCUGCAGUCUCUUUCAGUGGAUAUCAAAUCCUUUUCAGUUUGACAGGCUUCAAAGUCAUUUCACAAAAUCGACCAAAACCCCCCUCCCCAACCCAAAAAUCAGUUUCCCCACCAAAAAAUGCAACCACUGCAGGCGUGGGUGAGGCCAGCUCUGUGACAGCACAGGGCAACACUCCAACAUGACUGUGUAGCAUGUGGAGAAGGGGAAAAAAUGCUGUGUCCAAGAGGAGCUGCAGGAGGAAUGAAGGGAAGAGGACCAUCCCCUCCCAAAAGUCUGGGACACUGACUUUACCAAAAAUGUUGAGAUCAUUUCCAGUCUGAUAGUGUUCAUAUCUGUAUUACUCAACUGAACCCCCACCCAGAGCCACAUACAGCACAGAGUGCUGAGUGACAGGUGGCUUCUUAAAUACCUGCAGCUUGGGGCACUGUUUGCAGGUCUCCUCAGCAGGUACUACUCUUGGUGACAUUUGACAUGAUGAAAGCUCACCCCGUCAGGACUGAGACACAGCCAGUGUACGGAAGAGGCUACAGGAAGAUAAGGUGUGUGGAAGCAACGUGCAUGCCUGAAGUUGAAGGAGACCGUCACAAGGACAAGGUGUCAGGAAGAGCAGCCACUGGCCAGGUGACAGAAGGCUGUUAAAAGGCCAGCUUUCACAACCAGCCCAGCCAAAGCUCCUUGCGUUGCUUUGAGACAAUUCACUGUGGCUACAAUCAGCCUUAAAAUAAUUUCAUCUGGGCUUUAAAGCUAGUUAGAACAUGGGUAGAAAGCCCUAGUGUGUAGUAAACUGACGAAGUUGUGUGAGCACCCUGGGUGUGAGAUAUUGCUGCAGAUUUGAAGUUUCUCCUGUCAGCCUGUGAGUUGCUUCCUUUAUUUUCCUUGCUAGGACAGACUGUUGUCCUAUCCCCUGUUUCUCUCCAUCCUUCAAGAAGAUGCUGUCCUCUUCCUAAGAUGUUUCUGUGCAUUCUGUGAAGUUUUGCAGGGAUUUGGUGGAACUGUCAGCUGAGCAGCAACAUGGACAGGUGACACCUAUUCUACAUGGUUUUCACUGUGAACACAUCUCCGCAGUCAUGUCUGUCUAUUGCUGUCCUAGGCCUGUUCACCUUUAUGCUUUUCAGAGCACUUCGGAGUUUGUUUUCUGCCUCUUCUGUUUAGAAAAUGUUUAACAUUGGUGAGUGUUUACAGGAAAGUGCCAAUUUUCAUACCAUGUUUAAAGGACACUGGUUUGUUUUGUCUCUAGGUUUAGGCAGUGGUUGCAACAAUAAGUCCCUAGGUGUAGCUAUGAGGAAGAUGGACUGCCACUGUCUCUGUGGUGAAAUGACAUUUGUCAGCAAGGAGAACUGACCCUCCAGAAGAAGAUGCUGCUGAGGAAAAAGAGGAAGCCAAGUGUCUCCUUUCUGAAGCACGUGGACUUCCCUGCCCUGAAGAGGACACUUGUGACCCUCACAACACUCCCCGCUGCUGCUUUCUCUUUCUUCCUCUCUCAACCACACCCACUAUUUAACCAUUUAGAUAUAAAAAUAAAAAAAACACCAAACCCACUAGACAGAGGGUUUGCUAAAGAAGGGUAAUUUUAAAAGCAGGUCUUUGAGGUCAGCACGUAAUUGUAACAUUUGGACUGUGUGAUCCAAGACAAAAAUAAUCCAGUGGGUGUCUGGCCCAGGAAGAGAGGAUGGCAGCCUGCAGUGAAGGAAGAGUGACUUGCACGGGAUUGAUCAGAUGGCAAAAGACCAGACAAAACUACUCGCUGGCACCAGGACUAAUAUAUGUGUAGGAUCCUGCAAGAUUUUCUGUCUGUGAUGGGAUUUGUAAGGGCUACUGUACUGGGUCACAGCCUCCCUUGGUUAGUAGCCCUGCCUCUGCCAGGGGCUGGCACUCGGUGCUUCCCGGGGAUUGAAUGGUCUUUUGCAGAAAUACAGAUUUGUUGUGAAGUAUAUUUAUAUAUUAGCCUGCUAAUGAGGAACAUUUCUGGUUUGCUCUGGAAUUUAGAGUGCUGAGGGUUUUUAACCAUUCUCCAUUUCCAGUCCCCCACACCAGGUACCUUAAGAAAACCUGUCUUCUUCAAAGGGUUCAUGGGCUGCAAGCUGUGCUCUUCCCUUGUAUGGUAUAACGGAGGACGUUUUCACACCUACAAAUGUCGGAUCCUUUCCUCACAGUACCUUCUCAGUUAUAACUGACAGCAAUAAGUUAUGUGGGACAAUCAUAUAAUGUAUUUUACCAGUACUUCCUCUAGUACAUUUUAAGUGAAGAAGUGAGCCUUGUAAGUGCCCCAGUAUCUCUGCUGUCUGCCAGCCCUGAGAGUACAAUACAGGGGGUAGGGCGACCACACCACAGUGCUGGUUUUGUUUAUCAUUCUGGCAAGACAGAGUGGCAGCCCUCAUCACUUGGAAAUAAUGAUGCUAAUUCUUGUAUUGGGGCAAAGCACCAACUGUCCACAGAGGACUCUGAUUUUCCUGGCCCCAGAGGUGGCAUGGGUAGGACACCAAGCUGCCUUUCAUCUCUGUUGUUCCUAAGACUGAGUUGCUUGCACAUUUGCUCCCAGAUGAAAGCACCAUAAAAAUCAGUUUUACUGUGAAAGCAGGAGGGAGCACGCCUGUACACUGAUGACAAUGGCUGGGGGAACAGAGCUGUACCUGAAUUCAUGCCACUUCUGUUUCCAUUCCAAGACGCCCAGCCAUCAACUCUCCAGGCUUUCACCACAGUUUAGUAUUGACCCUUCUCAAACCACUGUCUGUGCAUGAAAGGGAUUUAUUUUUAAUCAGAGGCCAGUGCUGGUUGCAGGGGUCUUUACUUUGUGACCUUCAAUACUGUUUCCAGGAGGAGACAGUGGGUUUCAGUACCUUCUUGCUGUGGCUGCCUCGGGGUCAGCCCUUCCCAGAACAGAUGCCACUGAUUUGGGAGGGCUUGCUGCCUCCCCUUUAUUUAAGUACCGGUUACACAGCUCCGCCAGUACCCAUUGCAGUCGUAAACCACACUCAAGGGAUGAGCAAUUUAGGGUUUGGAAUCAUUGUGGACCAGCCCUGGAGACCUCAUGCAAUUGUUUUUCAUCUCUCUUACACCCACAGUUUUGCUAAUUAGAGUUACUGCAGAACCCAGAGAGUUUCUGACUUGAAUUUGAGUUGGGAAAGACACACAAAAGAAAGGAAUUUGUGUUGUAAAUUAGAUUUCUCAGAUUUCAGUGAUUUGUCAUGGAAAUGUGGCUCAAUCUAUGCAGUCAUAAAAACAUUUCACAUAUUCAAACUCUUCUCAUGCUAUUCAGUUCCCUGAUGUGGCAGGGUACAGUGACUAUAGGAGGUAAGGUUAAUUUCAAAUCAGCUGUGUUAGAAUCAUAGAAUCAUUUUGGUUGGAAGAGAUCCUCAAGAUCAUAGAGUCCAACCAUUAACCUCACACUGGCACUAAACCAUGUCCCUAAGGACCUAAUAAAAAUGACUUGGCACCUCAGCUGAGGAAGCAUUAAACCUACAAAAUGAGGAUUAACCUAGAAACCAUUCCCAAAUCCUAGUGAUCUAUGUGAGAAUACUGGAUUCUUGUCUCAAGUUGUUUUCUGCCCCUUCCAAAGUGUCCCAGAGGAUAUAUGCUGCCUCUUGGUGCAGCUCAGGUCAGGGGGAGAGCACCCAAGUACCUCCCCAUAUGUGUUGUGCUCCCCCAUGAUACAAAAUGAAAACCACAAUUCAGACUUCAGUCAAUGGGGGUGGUCUAAAAAUAAUAGGAUUUAAACCAGUAGAUGAUGGUUU